rnacentral:lncRNA from 1 species
UGGUGGAGACUCAUAAACAUAUGGAGGGGGUAUAGGUUUGUAGUAGUAUGGAGGAGGUGGUGAUGGUGAGGGUGGAGGAGGUGACUCAUAAACAUAAGGUGGUGGUGGAGGGGAUUUGUAGACAUAUUGUGGAGGAGGAGGUGAUUCGUAAACAUAUGGAGGAGGUGGCGGUGACUUGUAGACAUAUGGUGGUGGAGGUGGCGACUUGUAUACAUAUGGUGGGGUGGUGAUGGAGAUGGUGGAGGAGGAGACUUGUAGACAUAUGGAGGUGGGGUGUACACAUAUGGUGGGGGAGGUGGCGACUUGUAGAUAUAUGGAGGAGGUGGUGAUGGUGGAGGAGGAGAUGGGUAAACAUAAGGUGGAGGAGGUGGUGACUUAUACACAUAUGGAGGAGGUGGGGGUGAUUUGUAGAUAUAUGGAGGAGGAGGCGAUGGUGGAGGAGGAGAUGGGUAAACAUAAGGUGGAGGAGGUGGUGAUUUGUAUACGUAUGGAGGAGGUGGUGAUGGUGGAGGAGGAGACGGGUAAACGUAAGGUGGAGGAGGUGGUGACUUGUACACAUAUGGAGGAGGUGGGGGUGACUUGUACACAUAUGGAGGAGGUGGUGAUGGUGGAGGAGGAGACGGGUAAACAUAAGGUGGAGGAGGUGGUGACUUGUACACGUAUGGAGGAGGUGGGGGUGACUUGUACACAUAUGGAGGAGGUGGCGGUGACUUGUAUACAUACGGAGGAGGUGGUGAUGGUGGAGGAGGAGACGGGUAAACGUAAGGUGGAGGAGGUGGUGACUUGUACACGUAUGGAGGAGGUGGGGGUGACUUGUAUACAUAUGGAGGUGGCGGUGAUGGUGGAGGAGGAGACGGGUAAACAUAAGGUGGAGGAGGUGGUGACUUGUACACAUAUGGAGGAGGUGGUGGUGAUUUAUAGACAUAAGGAGGUGGUGGUGAUGGAGAUGGUGGUGGUGGAGAUUUGUAGUAAUAUGGUGGUAAUUUGUAAUCAUAAG